UGGUGAGCAAGCCCAGCGGUCUACCUAUCUCUAUUUUUCCAACACUGGGAUUACAAAGAUAAUGUGAAUAAAAGUUCCUGAAAAGAAGCUGUGGUGAUAAAGGCUGACUGACUAAGACUGUAAUGAUGUGAGAACGUGGAAUUUUGGGCAACCCGAGUCUGUGUUCCCAGGCCAUAGUGACUCACAUUUGGCUCCAGAAUAAAUGAUUUCUUGUCCCCUUUGAGUGCCUAAAUUUCUUCAUGAGGUGGAAGCAAAAACAGAGCUACCAUAUCCACGCUGUAAGCUUCUGGCAGCGUGCAAGUCCCAUUGAUCUCCCGGAGAUCUGGUUUUCCUUUCUGGAAGCUCCCAUGAAUGCUGCAGGCACCCUUCUGCAAAACACAACUUUCUUCUGACAAGACUUUGGAAUUAUAAAAUAUCAUCAGCACAUGCCAGGCUGUUUCCUAAGAUGGUGGGCAUCUCUCCUCUAACAAGCCACAUGAGGAUACCAGAAAGCUUAACAGAUGAUUCUAAAAGUGCUAUUUGAUAUGUCAUACAGAAGAUCACACAUGCACCACCAGCUACAGAGGCAGAGCUCGGAGGCAGUCACCUCUGAUCAAAAGAAGCAAGAAGAAAUGUGCUCAAGCAUGAGCCUGGCUCUGGGAAACCUUACUGGCGGAGCCGGUUACUGAAGCACAUGUCUCCACAUUCCCUGAGCUGUCAGGCUGUGUGAACACAGCCUACUCUUCCGGCUUCACAGGGGCUGGUCUUUGGGUGGCCUCUCAGGCAUUCAAGUGACAGUGUGACUUGCCAUUGACGUAAGUCCAGGUCCAAAGCACUGAGUGGUGGCUGGGACAAGGCAGUCUGCUGAACUUUGCAGGAGAUGGUGGCAAGAGCUGAGAGACACUGCAGUCUGAGACGGGCUCUGCCCCACCAUCGUCUACAAUGGUGUCCACAGCGUCACCAAGAGCACAGUUGAUCCUCCUUUCUUGCCUUCCCCGGCCAAACAGUUCUAAACCACUGACGAAGGACAUCAGCUGGAUGCCAAAGCCCCAGCACACCCAACAUCAUUGUGUUUGUAUGUAUGUUCCCUUCCUGAGUUCGUCACCAACUCACAGGACAGAUCAGUUAGCGCUGUUUUCAUGUUUGCAGGAAACACGUGCACAGAUGUGUCUCAGCGGGGCUGGAGAGAUGGGAUCAGAUGUUAAGGGCACUGGCUGCUCUUCCAAAGGACCCGGGUUCAAAUCGCAGCACCCACAUGACAAUUCACAACAUUCUGAGUGAGGGGAUCUGACACCCUCACACAGACAUAC